rnacentral:tRNA from 1 species
UUUAAAGUGGCAGAUAAAUGCGCUGGAUUUAAGCUCCAGAGAUGGGAUUAUUUUUCUCCUUUAAAA